rnacentral:rRNA from 1 species
UACGAAGGGGGCUAGCGUUGCUCGGAAUUACUGGGCGUAAAGCGCACGUAGGCGGCUUCUUAAGUCGGGGGUGAAAUCCCGGAGCUCAACUCCGGAACUGCCUUCGAUACUGGGAAGCUCGAGUCCGGGAGAGGUGAGUGGAACUGCGAGUGUAGAGGUGAAAUUCGUAGAUAUUCGCAAGAACACCAGUGGCGAAGGCGGCUCACUGGCCCGGUACUGACGCUGAGGUGCGAAAGCGUGGGGAGCAAACGGG